rnacentral:rRNA from 1 species
AGCCAUAACAUGGAAGAGAUAACCGCUGAAAGCAUCUAAGCGGGAAACUUGCCUCAAAACUAGUUCUCGCCAUUAGGGGCGUGGAAGACUACCACGUUGAUAGGCCGGAUGUGAAAGUGCAGUAAUGCAUGCAGCUAACCGGUACUAAUACCCCAAUUGGCUUGAUACG